UACGAAGGGGGCUAGCGUUGCUCGGAAUUACUGGGCGUAAAGCGCACGUGGGCGGUCUUUUAAGUCGGGGGUGAAAUCCUGGAGCUCAACUCCAGAACUGCCUUCGAUACUGGAAGACUCGAGUCCGGGAGAGGUGAGUGGAACUGCGAGUGUAGAGGUGAAAUUCGUAGAUAUUCGCAAGAACACCAGUGGCGAAGGCGGCUCACUGGCCCGGUACUGACGCUGAGGUGCGAAAGCGUGGGGAGCAAACAGG
rnacentral:rRNA from 1 species